UUUAGCUCAGCUGGUUCAGAGCAUCUGCCUUACAAGCAGAGGGUCGGCGGUUCGAAUCCGUCAACGCC
rnacentral:tRNA from 1 species